rnacentral:rRNA from 1 species
AUACGUAGGGAGCGAGCGUUGUCCGGAAUUACUGGGUGUAAAGGGAGCGUAGGCGGGAGUGCAAGUCAGAUGUGAAAUACAUGGGCUCAGCCCAUGGGCUGCAUUUGAAACUGCAUUUCUUGAGUGAAGUAGAGGUAAGCGGAAUUCCUGGUGUAGCGGUGAAAUGCGUAGAUAUCAGGAGGAACACCGGUGGCGAAGGCGGCUUACUGGGCUUUUACUGACGCUGAGGCUCGAAAGCGUGGGGAGCAAACAGGAUUAGAUACCCUGGUAGUCCACGCUGUAAACGAUGAUUACUAGGUGUGGGGGGACUGACCCCUUCCGUGCCGCAGUUAACACAAUAAGUAAUCCACCUGGGGAGUACGGCCGCAAGGUUGAAACUCAAAUGAAUUGGCGGGG